rnacentral:rRNA from 1 species
AAUGGGCCAGUGCUAAUCCUACUUGGAUAACUGUGGUAAUUCCAGAGCUAAUACAUGCAACUGAUAUCCUGAAGAUGCAGCGUUUGUGUUUGCUUGUCUUGCGCUUUCACUGUUCUGACGGAUGCUUUUAUUAGACCAAGCCGCUGAGGGCAUUGAAGUUCGCGCUUCCUUGUCUGACUCGUGUGAUGGUGACUCUGGAUAACCAAUUCUGACAAGCGCACGUACUCCUCUUCGAGCGAGACGGCGCUGCCACUUUCGAGUGUCUGCCUUAUCAGCUAUCAACCGUUCGUUAUGCGCGACCGAUGGCUUUGACGGGUAACGGGGAAUCAGGGUUCGAUUCCGGAGAGGCAGCCUGAGAGACGGCUACCACGUCCAAGGACGGCAGCAGGCACGCAAAUUACCCAAUCCCAGCAAAUGGGGGAGGUAGUGACGAAAUCUAACGAUGCGGGCGCCCUU